rnacentral:rRNA from 1 species
CGGACUUCGGUCUGGCGGCGAGUGGCGAACGGGUGAGUAAUACAUCGGAACGUACCCUGUUGUGGGGGAUAACUAGUCGAAAGAUUAGCUAAUACCGCAUACGACCUGAGGGUGAAAGCGGGGGACCGCAAGGCCUCGCGCGAUUGGAGCGGCCGAUGUCAGAUUAGCUAGUUGGUGGGGUAAAGGCCUACCAAGGCGACGAUCGAUAGCUGGUCUGAGAGGACGACCAGCCACACUGGAACUGAGACACGGUCCAGACUCCUACGGGAGGCAGCAGUGGGGAAUUUUGGACAAUGGGGGCAACCCUGAUCCAGCCAUUCCGCGUGAGUGAAGAAGGCCUUCGGGUUGUAAAGCUCUUUCGGCAGGAACGAAACGGUGGGGGCUAAUAUCCCCUGCUAAUGACGGUACCUGAAGAAGAAGCACCGGCUAACUACGUGCCAGCAGCCGCGGUAAUACGUAGGGUGCGAGCGUUAAUCGGAAUUACUGGGCGUAAAGCGUGCGCAGGCGGUUUUGUAAGACAGAUGUGAAAUCCCCGGGCUCAACCUGGGAACUGCAUUUGUGACUGCAUGACUGGAGUGCGGCAGAGGGGGAUGGAAUUCCGCGUGUAGCAGUGAAAUGCGUAGAUAUGCGGAGGAACACCGAUGGCGAAGGCAAUCCCCUGGGCCUGCACUGACGCUCAUGCACGAAAGCGUGGGGAGCAAACAGGAUUAGAUACCCUGGUAGUCCACGCCCUAAACGAUGCGAACUGGAUGUUG